UGGGAUAAAUUCAAACCUGCAAAAUAACAGGACUCAAGCAUUUCGCCAAACACCUCAUGUUUUCCCUUUGAAAAUAAUAAAUUUUUGUGAGGCUUGCUUUAGAUGAUGGUAUUCAAGUGCCACCGAAUUGAGGUUCAAUCCUUGACACUUAAUACCUUCAUCUAAACCAGCAUAACAAAAAUUUAAUAUUUUCAAAGGAGAAACAUGAGGUGCUUGCGAAAUGCUUGAGUCCUGUUGUUUGACAAGUUUGAAUUACCU
rnacentral:pre_miRNA from 1 species